GAUGAACGCUAGCUACAGGCUUAACACAUGCAAGUCGCGGGGCAGCAUGGGGGUUGCUUGCAAUCCCCGAUGGCGACCGGCGCACGGGUGAGUAACGCGUAUCCAACCUGCCCUUCACCACGGGAUAACCCGGCGAAAGUCGGACUAAUACCGUAUGUUGUCCAUUGACGGCAUCCGAUUUGGACGAAAGGCUUGGCGGUGAGGGAUGGGGAUGCGUCCGAUUAGCCAGACGGCGGGGUAACGGCCCACCGUGGCUACGAUCGGUAGGGGUUCUGAGAGGAAGGUCCCCCACACUGGAACUGAGACACGGUCCAGACUCCUACGGGAGGCAGCAGUGAGGAAUAUUGGUCAAUGGGCGUAAGCCUGAACCAGCCAAGUAGCGUGCAGGAUGACGGCCCUAUGGGUUGUAAACUGCUUUUAUGCGGGGAUAAAGUGGCCCAGGUGUGGGCUUUUGCAGGUACCGCAUGAAUAAGGACCGGCUAAUUCCGUG
rnacentral:rRNA from 1 species